CAGCAGUUUGAUUGCAGAUCUUAAAAAAGUCACUUAAUUUCAUUGUCCUUGUCCAAACUAAGCCAUAGUAACUAUCAGGUUACUGCCUUUGUUUCCAGAUUUCUAGUGUUUUGUCCUAUGUACAGAUUUCUGUUAUGUUAGUCUAGGUUAGAGAUUGAUUUUAUGCCAAGGGGGUAAGUAUCCCAUUCUGGGGGAGUGAGACGGUAUGAACUUUAACAAAAUCUGUUCAAAUCUUCAUAUAAGAGUGGCAAUAACAUUGCAGAGUACACAGAGAGAAUCACAAAACAAUGCUUUAAUAACAAACCAGAGUUUCAUAGCUUUUUAAAUUAAAUGUCUCCAUGAUGAAGAAUUUUUGGUGUAAUUAAAGGCAGAUACAGGGGACAUGUUGACAUACACCCCUCUUUUUUUCCAAUACCUCUUAGUUUGGAACUGUGUUGCUUUGUUGUUGUUGUUGAUACACACUUCAUUACAUGUACAUCCAGAUGAUAAGAAAGAUACAGACAAUUUCAGUAUACUCCAGAUGGGAAUUUUCCCUCUGAUUUUGUGUAAGAAACAGGAAUUCUCUCUUCAAACAUUUUACUUGCUUCCAGUGCAAGAGGUACCAUGAAGAAAUAAUCUAAAUACAAAUGCAGAUCAGGGCUGCAAUUACAGGACUCUUGUCUUUAGUGUUUGGUUUUUUUAACUUGUUUAGCCUGUUACUCCUUUAGUCUGUUACUGAACAUGACUUCAAGCAUUGUACUCAACUGCAGUGAACUUUUCUGUGGGAAUAUUUUCAACAUUCAAGAAAGGAAUGCAAAAUAUUCUCUGUGCUGUUUGCAGCAUUUCAAUCCUCUCAGCAAUCUGUACAGCAAACUCAGCCUUGCUAUUUGCCUGGCUAUUAUAUGAGACAGUCAGAUGCAAUCAAAUUCUUGUUCUCAAAUAAGUAUAUGAUCUAAUUUAAGGUAAACUGAGAUCUUGUGAUUGUAACCACAUAGUUCAGGAAUGUUUAAACACUUCGGGGCUCUAUCCUCAAUGGGUACUACAGAAGCCUCUGACAUUUGCCUGAUUCCCAAAAGCCUGAUUAGUCGCCUAUAGUUUUAAGGAAAGAAAUUUCCAGAAGAGUAGCACCUGAAGAAGAAAGCAUUCGUGCUGGCUGAUGCUAGCUGAAGGAAGCAUAGAGCACUGAGCAAGAAAAGCUUUUCUGCUGAUUUGAUUCUUCCAGCAAAGGUAGCAUUGCAUACCUUGCUGUAAACAAACAAA